UGUGAGUGAAAGGUGAGCUGCUGUGUGUGACAGUGCAGCUGGUGUAAUAAUAACGGAGGGCGGUUCCUGUGUGAGGUAUCUUUACCUGCGGUGGCUCCCAGGUGGCCGUGCUGCACGCUGAGUUCAGAUGACCAGCCGCUCAGACCCCCAACAGACCAGCACAAUACAUCUGAUCACUCCUCACGAGUCUGCAAACAUACGCUGUGCAGAGGAACACAUCAUGAGACCAGACAAUGCUGAGAACGGCCGACAACCUCCGUAUGAUCUCCUGCACUUCACACUGAGCCUACUGACAGAUCCUCCAUCGAAAUAUUUCAUUUGUUUGAUUUUCUCACCAUCAUGAUGUUUCAUUUCUCAAAGUAGAAGAUCAGCAGAAUGUUCACGUUGCUCUUUUUCAUGCAGUGAGAGUCAAUGGGGACAGAUGCUGUUAAGCUCAUAGAGCAUCAUCUCUUGUGCAUUGUGCAUAUAGUCAUAUGAUAAAUCUGAGAUGAACAGACUCAGACUUACAGUAAGACUUAAAUUCUUCCCUCUUCAGCAGAUCUCAAACUUCAUUUCUGCAUAUUGUGGCACAUCAAGAAACAUCAUUGAUUUCCAUUUGUUGCAACUAAUAAAUAGACGAGUGUUA